AAUAGGGCUUGCGGAGCAAGACCCGAAGUCUAGAGACAAAAAUUUAUGGAACGGAAAAAAUGACUUCGGAAAAGUUUUGACAGAAGUGCGAAAUACAUUUUGGAGUGAAUAUACCCAGGCAGACAAGAGAGAAAGACGGACAAACGAAGGUGAUACAUCAGACUAAACCAGUUCCUUUUUUGGAAGAAUUUUCUACAUACUAUAACCAUAUAUGACGCCUCGGAUAAAGCUUUACACAUGUCAUUAAUAGUAAGGGUGAAUGAUCUCCGGAUGUGGCUGUGUAAUGUUUGAGGAUGAUAUAAGUCAGUACCACUGUAAAAUUUAUUAAAUCAAAACGGAGGACAAAAAUACCAGCAAUAAGUGUAACAGAUCUGCAACCCAGGGUACAUUUUACAAAACUGGGAUUACAUACUUGCUUCAAAAUUGCAGCAUCUGAAGAGUGCUUUCAGAGUUCAAUUCGAAACUGAUGCAAAUGCAUGUUCGUAGACUGAUCUCAAAACUAGUUUUCAUGGAAAUUAUAACAAUGACUCCUAAGAUUUGGCACAAUCAUACAUCAUGUCACAACAUGAAAAAAGUACACAGAAAAGAUUUUUUUUGUAGUGUUCAUGUACAGAAGGACAAUAUUUUUUUCUUUCAAAACGCUACAAUUUUUGCACAACUUCGCUAUAAACUUUUUAAAUAUUUUUUUGAAAACAUCAUAUGUAAACCAUUUAACAUGUUUAUGAGAAACUAAGGCAUUGCAUCCAUUUUCGGCAGUAUUAAGGCUACUAGAACUACCCGUCUCAAAAGUUUAAUACGUAGCGAUUUGUCUCAUUUUUGUGCCCCCCCCCCCCUAUGAGUGGUGGGGGGAUAUAGAUUUGGUCUUGUCCGUGCGUCCGUCCGUCCGAAGUUCGUGACGCGCCUAGCUCAAAAAGUAUUUGAUAUAAAUUAAUGAAACCUUGCACGAGUCUAUAUCAUGAUAUAAACUUGCGCACCUCCUAUUUUCCGUCUGGCUCCGCCCCCUAUUUCCAGAGUUAUAGUAAAAAAUGAACAUUUUCACCUUGUGACACGCCUAGCUCAAAAAGUAUUUGAUAUAGAUUCAUGAAACUUUGCGUGAGUCUUAAUCAUGAUAUGAACUUGCGCACUUCCUAUUUUUCGUCUGUCUCCGCCCCUAUUUUCUGAGUUAUGGCCCCUGAAAUAGUCAAAAAUGCACAUUUUAAUCUUGUGACGCGCCUAGCCCAAAAAGUAUUUGACAUAAAUUGAUGAAACCUUGCAUGACUCCGUAUCAUGAUAUGAACUUGAGCACUUCCUAUUUUUCGUCUGGCUCCUCCCCCUAUUUUCAGAGUUAUGGCCCCUGAAAAAAUGCACAUUUUCACCCUGUGACACGCCUAGAUCAAAAAGUGUUUGAUAUAGAUUCAUGAAACCUUGCAUGAGUCUUAAUCAUGAUGUGAACUUGCGCAUCUCCUAUUUUUCAUCUUGGUCAGCCCCCUAUAUCCAGAGUUAUGGCCCCUGAAAUAGUCAAAAAUGCACAUUUUCACCUUGUGACACGUCUAACUCAAAUAGUAUUUAAUAUAAAUGAUUGAAAACUUGCAUAAGUCUUUAUCAUGAUAUAAACCUGCAAUCCUCUUAUAUUUUGACUGGCUCCACCCCCUAUUUUUGAAGUUAUGGCCCUGAAAUAGUAAAAAUGCACAUUUUUACCUAAUUAUGUACCUAGCUCAAAAGGUAUUUGAUGUAAAUUUACGAAACCUUGCUUAAGUCUUUAUCAUGAUGUGUCCUUUCACACUUGGCAUUCUCCCUGAGAAUCUUGGCAUUUAUUACAAAGUUAUGGCCCUUGAAAUAGCCAAAAUAGUGAUUUUUUGUUUGUGAUGCUCAUAGCUCAAAAAGUAUAUGGCCUAGAAUAAUGAAUCCUUUUCAUAAAAUGUUUGUUUAGGCUAUACCCCAUUAAGACUGCAAACAUUUGAAUUAUUUCCCCUUAUUUGUGACAAAUGUACCGGUGGGGGCACACCCUGUGUCCUACAGACACAUUCUAGUUUAAUUAUGUUCACAAAGAAGAGCAUAUACUAUCUUUGCAAAGGAAGAUUGAUUUUGCUCUAUGUAUUCUUUAGAUAAGCUUAAGCGAUAAAUCAUUCAGAAAGUUAAUAUUUAACAUAAUUUAUUUGUCCGUAAUUCUACCCAAGAAACGUAAAAAUGUGUAACAGCAUCAAACAUAAAACAACUCGUUUUGCUUGUAACUGAUGCACCAUAAUAUAAAGCAAGUGUAUUAAUCAAUGGAUAAAGUCAUAUCAAGUAGGUAAAGCUUGUCUUGAUCUUCAAAAUUCCAUAAAUAAAUAAUAAAAUUUGCGCAAAGAAAUGUUUGAAUUCUUCAGCUUUUUGAAGCAUUUGAGUAUAUAUUUUUUUCAGUCACAUAGUAUUUAUGUCACAUUUUGGAUUCAAACUAUUUCGGAGUUUAUUUCGUGUGAAAGGGUUUUCUUUAAUGAGAUGCUAUAUGCUUUAACUUUCAUAACAGAAAUAGUCUGAGAUAGUACAAAAUUUUGAUCAGAUAUUUUCCCGACAAAAAAACAUGAUCUGUCUUUAAUAUGAUAUUUUUCUCAGCUUGGAUCAGGUGCGCAUCAGCCACAUACAAAAAGGGUUAUAUUAUGCUUCCCGCUAUUUAAUUUUUUAUAUUUAUUAUAUAAGAAUUAAGGAUCAAUAAACCAUAUCAAAUGUUCGCGAUUUACAUGUACAUGUUGUUACAUGCUGUAAGAUUUAAACUCAUCUAGUACAAUCCCUAAAGCAAAAUAUCCGGUCUCUUUUGCAAUAAUAAUAUAUACGUUUAGGGUUAUACGAAGAAUUAUGAGACAAAUUCGCUUUGCAGUUAAAUUUUUAGAUGGACCUGUACAUAUGUAUAGCACAUAUAUAUCAUUGUCUUCUAUGCUUCCAAAGGUCUUCUUACAGGUUAUAUGAACUAUCACAAUAUUAGUUUAUAAGUGCCGUCCAUGGACUAAGUGUUAUUAUAUUUUCUUGUUCUAUGAUAUCGUGGAUUCCAUUCAAUUUUAAUAUGACAUAGUUCUGCUUAAGCAGGUACUGUGGGAUGGGAUGUGAGAAGUGUUGCAUAUUUCAUUACCUAUCAUAAAUAGACAGAGUCUGCUGUUAUUUUGCUUUGUUGCGAUCUUGCUUCCAAUUUAUAUCUUAAUGUAUUGUACUGGUUUAAACAGAAAUCAAAACUUAUAGAAUGCAAUGGUAAAAUGCCAUUCGUUACUUCAAUUUUUGCGGUUUGGAUGGUGUUAUUUGGACAUGGUGUCGCCUAAAGUUUGACAGAAGUCAGCCUAGUUAGGUCUGUCAUAACAAAAUCCUAUCAUAUUCAAAACGAUCAUUUGGUGUUAAGUGAGAAAUGAAUUAUACAAUUUGCAUUUUCAGAAUUCAUUUUUUUAUGAAACUUAUAAUUGAAUGUUUCUGUUGUAUACAAAACAGUAUCAAACUUAAUUCGAAAAUGCUAAUAUUUUAUCCUUUUUGAUUGGUUAUUUGUAGUUUGUCUAAGAUAAUAUUCGUAGUUAUAUAUACAUUAAAAUCAUUCGCAUUUA